ensembl:lncRNA
AGUUGGAACCUGGGUACUUUAUUGCAGACGAUGGUGAUCCCACCAGCUCAAGCAUACAGCAGUUUAACUCACUGUGCUUCUGAAUGCUGAGAGAAGCAGGACCAGCGCUGCUCCACACUUGCAUUAAGACCCGCUGAAGGAAGUGCUUCUGCCAGGAGGAGCAGAUAAACUGGAAUACUUCCAGGAGCUCUGGCAGGUACAUGCUGAAUGUCUUCAAGGACCUGGGUGAUGCUCAGCAAGUCAGUGAUGACACUGUAGUGAACUGGACCCUGAAAGAAUCUAGCAAGUCCACCUGCAUCCCAGAACUUCAAGGUGAAGAUUCCCCUUUUGUGUCCAAAAGGAGUGGCAGUUCCUAAUCACAGAAUCUUUCAGUCAGGUAGUGCUUCUAGAAAUCAAAUUGUUGUCCUUGUCAGUAAUGCUGGAGUAGUGGUUGGCUGGACUACCUUCCCUAAUUGAGAGCAAUGCAAAUCAACUCAAGCACUUCUUCGCAAUGAUCUCUCCUGUUUGCUCAGGCUUAUGAAAUGCUCACCCACUGAUCAGGGUUUGGAGAUUGAGCCCUUGUCUUUUUCUCAUCUUGUUGAAUCAUCAUAAGUUGUCAGGUUUUAAGUAUUUCUGUUAAACCGUGGCUUUGAAAUGUGUAUUCUGUGACUAUUAUGUAGUAGCAGAAUGACAGGCAGUUUUCAGGUCAAUAAUAGUCUUAGUUGAUUAUUUCUAAAAAUGCAAACAGAAGGAAGAAUGUAAAUGUUAGCUGAUAAGUCCUCGAUUAUGCAUGCUAGCUAUUAGCCCUUACAAAUAUUAAUUACAACUUUUAACAGUUGGUAAAGUGGUCUUGACAUUUCAAAGGUGAAUUUACACAUUAAAGACACUUGUCUCUGCUGUGGAAAGAUCAAAAUGCAUGCAUAAAACUGGUGUGACAGGACUGCUACACAUCUUGAAGACUGAAUCUUAGUAAAGAGGGUAUUAGGUGAAAUUAUGGUGGGCAGGGGCAGAGCUAAUGUGCCAGUUUUGGGUACCAGUCCAAAAGCCAACAAAGUCCUCUUUCCAUGGCAAAUGGGGAUGCUGUAUCCAUGGCAAGAAGAACUGCUUCCUGAGUGUGUGCUCUUCCAGAUCUUGCAGAGGUGAAUCCAAAGAUAGUGAUGACUGUGUACACCUGCCUAAUGGACAGAGGGAUGAAGCAAGUAUAAAGGGGCUGAUCCACGUAAAAAAAUUAAGCAAACAAAAUGCAA